rnacentral:rRNA from 1 species
UGGGGAAUAUUGGACAAUGGGGGCAACCCUGAUCCAGCGAUGCCGCGUGAGUGAAGAAGGCCUUAGGGUUGUAAAGCUCUUUUGAUAGGGAAGAUAAUGACGGUACCUAUAGAAUAAGCACCGGCUAACUCUGUGCCAGCAGCCGCGGUAAUACAGAGGGUGCAAGCGUUGUUCGGAAUUACUGGGCGUAAAGGGCGUGUAGGCGGUUUAGUAAGUUAGAUGUUAAAGACCUGGGCUUAACCUAGGGGAUGCAUUUGAUACUGCUAGACUAGAGAGCAGAAGGGGAGAAUGGAAUUUCCGGUGUAGAGGUGAAAUUCGUAGAUAUCGGAAGGAACACCAGUGGCGAAGGCGAUUCUCUGGGCUGCAUCUGACGCUGAGGCGCGAAAGCGUGGGUAGCAAACA